AGACACUGCAGAAGGAGGUGUGAAAACCCAUGUAGAGUACAACUGUGUGAAAAAAUACCCUGGAGAAAGUUUUUGUCACCCCUAUCAAUUGAAUGUUGUCUUUGUGCUCUGAAAGAUGGGAUUUAUGCUCCAUGCAAAUUUUUUAUGUGUCUUUAUGAUACACUUUCUUUAUCAUGAAAUAAUUUUCUGCAGUUCCCAGGAGAGUUCUGCUGCCGAAUGGUGCCUUGUGUAGACAAACACAGUGGAUGUAUUCCAUUCCACUGGUUUCACGUUUAUUGCUUCUGAAUUUCACAGUGCGUUCUCAUGAUCCUUAUCUGGAGAGGAACUGAGAUUCAGUUGCCCUCCUCCCUAGCCUGUGUCCUUCUGUUGGAACUACGUGACCCUCCCCUACAAUUUGUUUAGGAAGAACCUCAUGUGCUCCGCUCCUGAACGCUCGUCUAGGUCAGGAAUGUUUUGUGGGAGGAACACACAGGGUGACAAUUGGUUUCUGGGGAGCAGGAGCAACCAUUCUGGAUGUUUAGAGGGCCAUUCCCUAGUUUUGGUGUGUACAGCCUGCAGCAUCUAUCCUGUGCUCUCAAGCCAGACAGAGUCGCUCUGAGCACUGAAAUCCCAGACACGAUUGGCCUUCAGCUGUGGGAAGGAAAAGUGGGUAGUUUCCCGCUUCUACACAGAAUUGCUUCCUUCUGAUACAAGUAGGGCAACUCUGUUUUGCUUUUUCGUUGCAGAACCUUUGGAGAUCGAUGUGCAGCCGUGUGCUGUGGACUGCAAGUUCACACCAGUUUCUCUGAGCAGAGUUCAGGUCAGGUGUCCAUCCUGCACCCAUGUUGCUGAGUGAGAGAGUUUUUCACUGUGGCAGGCCUUGCUGGGUAGGCAGACAAGUAGAAUGACGUUGCUGACUUUCUGCAACCAUAUUCUGUCCCUUCCUGUUCAGCACUUGCCAUCUACCCUCAGCACGACUCUGGGGACGUGGAUCUGAUCUAAAAUUGCUUUCUCCGCAAGACAAGGAAACAAUGACUGUGCAGACGGUUCAACUCCUAGCAGGCCACAUAGAGAAGCCCCAAAUGCAGUCUGACCCAGGAGGAUACAGAUUGAGAAGUGCUGUGGGAGCUGCACCUGCACAAGUUUUCCCUUGUCUUUAAGGUGAAAUGCCAGUGUGGAUCUCAGCUGGGAGAAAAUGGACGAGAGGGUGUGAAAUCCCCUCAGCAUGGACCAAGCAGCACUUUGCUUCUGGGAGUGUUAACAUCACAGGUCGAGGGCCACUGCUGCUGACCUGACGGCGUGUCCUGGUUACCUGCCUUGCGGGCGUGUCAGGAUUUUUGACCAUUUCACUGCCAUCCUACCCUUGAUCCAUACAUACGCUUGUGUAGCUGUUGGUUGCCACUUACCUCCCUGACGAGGCUGGCCAAGUGCAGGGAUGCUCUGUUGCUAUGGAGUGCAGCAGAACAGAGGCAAGAAGGGAUGUUUUGGAUUUCCAUUUGUGAAUGAGCACAGCAGUGAUAUCUGUAGCAUCGGAAGAAAACAUAUAGGUUUAAAUAGCACUGCGUACCUGAGAAACAAAGGACAACACAGCUGCGUCCAUAUGCACCCGCUGUCAUUGACAAGAGAACUGGUGAAUCACUCUAUUUGUUUUCUUUUUCUGGUUACAGUAAUAACAGUUAUUUCAACAGGACAUCACUUUUCCCUGCAGUCCACCCGUCUCUUUCCCUCCUGUCGUCCAGAAAGGCUACUGCAACCUUCUGCUCUUCAGCAUUGGCUUACAAAAGGCUAUUGCAGUCUGUCACUGGUUCUUAUCACAAUGACAAAUCCAAGCCUGAGUUAUUUAUUUCACAGUCAAGGGAGGGGCUGUAAAUCCAAGUCAUGGAUGCUUCCUUCCACGCUCUUCUGGACAGGCUGUGAGUGGGAAUUGCCCACCUCAGAAGGCAGAAGUGACGGAAUUCCUGCUGUUACUCUAAGGUUUUGUAUUGUAGCACAGCCCAAACAAGAAGACUGUGAUGAUUAAUAACCUCGUAGGAGUUCAGUGGUAAGAGAUCUUGCAUGACUCAGGCUUUCAGGAUGAGGCCCUCCAUUUCACUGCAGCAAUUUCCCUUUUGUUUUGCUAACUGGUCACAUCUGUGUGUAGUUACAAUAACAUUACAAGUCUCCCUGAGUCUUGCAUGUGCCUGAGGGAACCACUAUAAGGAAAGAAGGGGAAUGUAUGAACAAGGAUGAAUGAAUCAGUGUUGCUUUGUGCAAGAGGCAGAAAUCAAAUUAACAUUUCCUUUUGC